AGAGUUUGAUCCUGGCUCAGGAUGAACUUUGGCGGCGUGCUUAACACAUGCAAGUCGAACGAAGCACUUAAACCUGAUUCUUCGGAUGAAGGUCUUUGUGACUGAGUGGCGGACGGGUGAGUAACGCGUGGGUAACCUGCCUCAUACAGGGGGAUAACAGUUAGAAAUGACUGCUAAUACCGCAUAAGACCACGGAGCCGCAUGGCUCAGUGGGAAAAACUCCGGUGGUAUGAGAUGGACCCGCGUCUGAUUAGGUAGUUGGUGGGGUAACGGCCUACCAAGCCAACGAUCAGUAGCCGACCUGAGAGGGUGACCGGCCACAUUGGGACUGAGACACGGCCCAAACUCCUACGGGAGGCAGCAGUGGGGAAUAUUGCACAAUGGGGGAAACCCUGAUGCAGCGACGCCGCGUGAGCGAAGAAGUAUUUCGGUAUGUAAAGCUCUAUCAGCAGGGAAGAAAAUGACGGUACCUGACUAAGAAGCACCGGCCAAAUACGUGCCAGCAGCCGCGGUAAUACGUAUGGUGCAAGCGUUAUCCGGAUUUACUGGGUGUAAAGGGAGCGUAGACGGCUGUGUAAGUCUGAAGUGAAAGCCCGGGGCUCAACCCCGGGACUGCUUUGGAAACUAUGCAGCUAGAGUGUCGGAGAGGUAAGUGGAAUUCCCAGUGUAGCGGUGAAAUGCGUAGAUAUUGGGAGGAACACCAGUGGCGAAGGCGGCUUACUGGACGAUGACUGACGUUGAGGCUCGAAAGCGUGGGGAGCAAACAAGAUUAGAUACCCUGGUAGUCCACGCCGUAAAC
rnacentral:rRNA from 1 species